UGGGGAAUCUUGGACAAUGGGCGCAAGCCUGAUCCAGCAAUAUCGCGUGAGUGAUGAAGGCCCUUUUGGUUGUAAAGCUCUUUUGUCAGGGAGGAUAGUGACAGUACCUGAAGAAAAAGUCCCGGCUAACUCCGUGCCAGCAGCCGCGGUAAUACGGGGGGGACUAGUGUUAUUCGGAAUGACUGGGCGUAAAGGGUGUGUAGGCGGUCUUGUAAGUUGAAAGUGAAAUCUCAAAGCUUAACUUUGAAAGUGCUUUCAAAACUGCUAGACUAGAGUGUGAGAGAGGAUAGUGGAAUUUCUAGUGUAGAAAUAAAAUCCAUAGAGAUUAGAAGGAACACCGAAAGCGAAGGCAUCUAUCUGGCUCAUAACUGACGCUGAUACACGAAAGCAUGGGGAGCAAACAGG
rnacentral:rRNA from 1 species